CAAUUUCAAUAAGCGGAGGAAAAGAAACCAACAGGGAUUGCCUUAGUAACGGCGAGUGAAGCGGCAAAAGCUCAAAUUUGAAAUCGGCCACCAGGUCGAGUUGUAAUUUGUAGAUUGUAUCUUGAGAGCGGAUUAAAGUCUGUUGGAACACAGCGCCUUAGAGGGUGACAGCCCCGUAAAAUCUAUUCUCAUUGUAAGAUACUUUCGAAGAGUCGAGUUGUUUGGGAAUGCAGCUCUAAGUGGGAGGUAAAUUCCUUUCUAAAGCUAAAUAUUGACGAGAGACCGAUAGCGAACAAGUACUGUGAAGGAAAGAUGAAAAGCACUUUGAAAAGAGAGUGAAAAAGUACGUGAAAUUGUUAAAAGGGAAGGGUAUUGAAUCAGACUUGGUGCUGUUGUUCAACCAUGUUUCGGCACAGUGUACUCAGCAGUACUAGGCCAAGGUGGGGUGUUUGGGAGUGAAAAAGAAGUUGGAACGUAACUCUUCGGAGUGUUAUAGCCUACUUUCAUAGCUCCUCAGGCGCCUCAGGACUGCGCUUCGGCAAGGACCUUGGCAUAAUGAUUCUAUACCGCCCGUCUUGAACG
rnacentral:rRNA from 1 species